GUGUCAGCAGCCGCGGUAAUACAGAGGGUGCAAGCGUUGUUCGGAAUUACUGGGCGUAAAGCGCGUGUAGGCUGCAAUAUAAGUCGGAUGUGAAAGCCCUCGGCUCAACCGAGGAAGUGCAUCCGAUACUGUAUCGCUAGAGUGUCGGAGGGGAUGGCGGAAUUCCCGGUGUAGAGGUGAAAUUCGUAGAUAUCGGGAGGAACACCUGUGGCGAAGGCGGCCAUCUGGACGACAACUGACGCUGAGACGCGAAAGCGUGGGUAGCAAACAGGAUUAGAUACCCUAGUAGUCC
rnacentral:rRNA from 1 species